rnacentral:lncRNA from 1 species
UUGACUAUAAAAUGGGGUGUGUUUGGCAGUUUAAUGGGGGGUUUUGAGAGAGGGAAUUUGCAGAGAGAACUAGAGAGAAAGAAGUCAGAUUCUUAGAGAGAUUAAGAGAAUUUAAUAACUUAUAAAGGUAGACCUAUACACAUCACGAAAAUUACAAAAAAAAAAAAAAUCAAAACACCAAAAGGUAUCUUGAUUGAUUACAAACCACACUUAUCGUCUCGCUUAAUGCACU